rnacentral:rRNA from 1 species
CAUGUAGGCGGAUUAAUAAGUUUGAAGUGAAAUCCUAUAGCUUAACUAUAGAACUGCUUUGAAAACUGUUAAUCUAGAAUGUGGGAGAGGUAGAUGGAAUUUCUGGUGUAGGGGUAAAAUACCGUAGAGAUCAGAAGGAAUACCGAUUGCGAAGGCGAUCUACUGGAACAUUAUUGACGCUGAGAUGCGAAAGCGUGGGGAGCAAACA